GACAGAGGGUGCAAACGUUGUUCGGAAUUACUGGGCGUAAAGCGCGUGUAGGCGGCUCUGCAAGUCGGAUGUGAAAUCCCAUGGCUCAACCAUGGAAGUGCACUCGAAACUGCAGGGCUAGAGUCCUGGAGAGGAAGGUGGAAUGCUUGGUGUAGAGGUGAAAUUCGUAGAUAUCAAGCGGAACACCGGUGGCGAAGGCGGCCUUCUGGACAGUGACUGACGCUGAGACGCGAAAGCGUGGGGAGCAAACAGG
rnacentral:rRNA from 1 species